rnacentral:rRNA from 1 species
GGAUUAGAUACCCUGGUAGUCCACACCGUAAACGCUGUCUACUAGCUGUUUGUGAAUUUAAUUCGUGAGUAGCGAAGCUAACGCGCUAAGUAGACCGCCUGGGGAGUACGGCCGCAAGGUUAAAACUCAAAUGAAUUGACGGGGGCCCGCACAAGCGGUGGAGCAUGUGGUUUAAUUCGAUGAUACGCGAGGAACCUUACCUGGGCUUAAAUGUAGACUGACAGGUCCAGAGAUGGAUUUUUCUUCGGACAGUUUACAAGGUGCUGCAUGGUUGUCGUCAGCUCGUGCCG